rnacentral:rRNA from 1 species
AAUGAACGCUGGCGGCGGGCCUAACACAUGCAAGUCGAGCGGAGAAAGGAAGCGCGUGCCCCGAUUAAGUGGCGGACGGGUGAGUAAGGCCUACGAAGCUGCCUGGCAGAUGGGAAUAAGGUAAGGAAGCGGGCGCGAAUACAGCAUAGGACAUGAGGGAGAAAGGGAGGGUUCUAUAGACAUAAAGGUAUUAGAUGACCCUAGGUCAGAUUACCUAGUUGGUGGGGUAAAGGCCUACCAUAGCGACGAUCCGAAACUGGCCUGAGAGGAUGAUCGGCCACACUGGAACUGAGACACGGUCCAGACUCCUACGGGAGGCAGCAGUCGGGAAUCUUGGCCAAUGCGCCAAAGCCUGACCCAGCCAUGCCGCGUGAGUGAAGAAGGUCUUCGGAUUGUAAACCACCAUGAGUGGGGAAGAAGACCAGUAUGUUGAUCCCUUCAUGUCUUGACGUUACCUAAGGAGAAAGCCCCGGCUAACUUCGUG